rnacentral:rRNA from 1 species
AGCGAACGCUGGCGGCAGGCCUAACACAUGCAAGUCGAACGAAGUCUUCGGACUUAGUGGCGGACGGGUGAGUAACACGUGGGAACGUGCCUUUAGGUUCGGAAUAACUCAGGGAAACUUGUGCUAAUACCGAAUGUGCCCUUCGGGGGAAAGAUUUAUCGCCUUUAGAGCGGCCCGAGUCUGAUUAGCUAGUUGGUGUGGUAAAGGCUCACCAAGGCGACGAUCAGUAGCUGGUCUGAGAGGAUGAUCAGCCACAUUGGGAAGGAGACACGGCCCAAACUCCUACGGGAGGCAGCAGUGGGGAAUCUUGCGCAAUGGGCGAAAGCCUGACGCAGCCAUGCCGCGUGAAUGAUGAAGGUCUUAGGAUUGUAAAAGUCUUUCACCGGGGACGAUAAUGACGGUACCCGGAGAAGAAGCCCCGGCUAACUUCGUGCCAGCCGCCGCCGUAACAC